rnacentral:rRNA from 1 species
GGGUUGUGAGGUUAAGCGACUAAGCGUACACGGUGGAUGCCCUGGCAGUCAGAGGCGAUGAAGGACGUGCUAAUCUGCGAAAAGCGUCGGUAAGGUGAUAUGAACCGUUACAGCCGGCGAUGUCCGAAUGGGGAAACCCAGUGCAAUUCGUUGCACUAUCGUUAACUGAAUACAUAGGUUAACGAGGCGAACCGGGGGAACUGAAACAUCUAAGUACCCCGAGGAAAAGAAAUCAACCGAGAUUCCCCAGUAGCGGCGAGCGAACGGGGAGCAGCCCAGAGUCUGAAUCAGCUUGUGUGUUAGUGGAACGGUCUGGAAAGUCCGACGGUACAGGGUGAUAGUCCCGUACACCAAAAUGCACAGGCUGUGAACUCGAAGAGUAGGGCGGGACACGUGGUAUCCUGUCUGAAUAUGGGGGGACCAUCCUCCAAGGCUAAAUACUCCUGACUGACCGAUAGUGAACCAGUACCGUGAGGGAAAGGCGAAAAGAACCCCGGCGAGGGGAGUGAAAAAGAACCUGAAACCGUGUACGUACAAGCAGUGGGAGCACCUUCGGGUGUGACUGCGUACCUUUUGUAUAAUGGGUCAGCGACUUAUAUUCUGUAGCAAGGUUAACCGUAUAGGGGAGCCGCAGGGAAACCGAGUCUUAACUGGGCGUUAAGUUGCAGGGUAUAGACCCGAAACCCGGUGAUCUAGCCAUGGGCAGGUUGAAGGUUGGGUAACACUAACUGGAGGACCGAACCGACUAAUGUUGAAAAAUUAGCGGAUGACUUGUGGCUGGGGGUGAAAGGCCAAUCAAACCGGGAGAUAGCUGGUUCUCCCCGAAAGCUAUUUAGGUAGCGCCUCGUGAAUUCAUCUUCGGGGGUAGAGCACUGUUUCGGCUAGGGGGUCAUCCCGACUUACCAACCCGAUGCAAACUACGAAUACCGAAGAAUGUUAUCACGGGAGACACACGGCGGGUGCUAACGUCCGUCGUGAAGAGGGAAACAACCCAGACCGCCAGCUAAGGUCCCAAAGUCAUGGUUAAGUGGGAAACGAUGUGGGAAGGCACAGACAGCCAGGAUGUUGGCUUAGAAGCAGCCAUCAUUUAAAGAAAGCGUAAUAGCUCACUGGUCGAGUCGGCCUGCGCGGAAGAUGUAACGGGGCUAAACCAUGCACCGAAGCUGCGGCAGCGACACUAUGUGUUGUUGGGUAGGGGAGCGUUCUGUAAGCCUGCGAAGGUGUGCUGUGAGGCAUGCUGGAGGUAUCAGAAGUGCGAAUGCUGACAUAAGUAACGAUAAAGCGGGUGAAAAGCCCGCUCGCCGGAAGACCAAGGGUUCCUGUCCAACGUUAAUCGGGGCAGGGUGAGUCGACCCCUAAGGCGAGGCCGAAAGGCGUAGUCGAUGGGAAACAGGUUAAUAUUCCUGUACUUGGUGUUACUGCGAAGGGGGACGGAGAAGGCUAUGUUAGCCGGGCGACGGUUGUCCCGGUUUAAGCAUGUAGGCUGGUUGUCCAGGCAAAUCCGGAUAAUCAAGGCUGAGGUGUGAUGACGAGGCACUACGGUGCUGAAGUAACAAAUGCCCUGCUUCCAGGAAAAGCCUCUAAGCAUCAGGUAACAUCAAAUCGUACCCCAAACCGACACAGGUGGUCAGGUAGAGAAUACCAAGGCGCUUGAGAGAACUCGGGUGAAGGAACUAGGCAAAAUGGUGCCGUAACUUCGGGAGAAGGCACGCUGGUGUGUAGGUGAAGUCCCUGCGGAUGGAGCUGAGACCAGUCGAAGAUACCAGCUGGCUGCAACUGUUUAUUAAAAACACAGCACUGUGCAAACACGAAAGUGGACGUAUACGGUGUGACGCCUGCCCGGUGCCGGAAGGUUAAUUGAUGGGGUUAUCCGUAAGGAGAAGCUCUUGAUCGAAGCCCCGGUAAACGGCGGCCGUAACUAUAACGGUCCUAAGGUAGCGAAAUUCCUUGUCGGGUAAGUUCCGACCUGCACGAAUGGCGUAAUGAUGGCCAGGCUGUCUCCACCCGAGACUCAGUGAAAUUGAACUCGCUGUGAAGAUGCAGUGUACCCGCGGCAAGACGGAAAGACCCCGUGAACCUUUACUAUAGCUUGACACUGAACAUUGAGCCUUGAUGUGUAGGAUAGGUGGGAGGCUUUGAAGCGUGGACGCCAGUCUGCGUGGAGCCAACCUUGAAAUACCACCCUUUAAUGUUUGAUGUUCUAACGUUGGCCCCUUACCGGGGUUGCGGACAGUGUCUGGUGGGUAGUUUGACUGGGGCGGUCUCCUCCCAAAGCGUAACGGAGGAGCACGAAGGUUAGCUAAUCCUGGUCGGACAUCAGGAGGUUAGUGCAAUGGCAUAAGCUAGCUUGACUGCGAGCGUGACGGCGCGAGCAGGUGCGAAAGCAGGUCAUAGUGAUCCGGUGGUUCUGAAUGGAAGGGCCAUCGCUCAACGGAUAAAAGGUACUCCGGGGAUAACAGGCUGAUACCGCCCAAGAGUUCAUAUCGACGGCGGUGUUUGGCACCUCGAUGUCGGCUCAUCACAUCCUGGGGCUGAAGUAGGUCCCAAGGGUAUGGCUGUUCGCCAUUUAAAGUGGUACGCGAGCUGGGUUUAGAACGUCGUGAGACAGUUCGGUCCCUAUCUGCCGUGGGCGCUGGAGAAUUGAGGGGGGCUGCUCCUAGUACGAGAGGACCGGAGUGGACGCAUCACUGGUGUUCGGGUUGUCAUGCCAAUGGCACUGCCCGGUAGCUAAAUGCGGAAGAGAUAAGUGCUGAAAGCAUCUAAGCACGAAACUUGCCCCGAGAUGAGUUCUCCCUGAGACUUUAAGUCUCCUGAAGGAACGUUGAAGACGACGACGUUGAUAGGCCGGGUGUGUAAGCGCAGCGAUGCGUUGAGCUAACCGGUACUAAUGAACCGUGAGGCUUAACCUUACAACGCCGAAG